rnacentral:rRNA from 1 species
UUGAAAGGGAAACGAUUGAAGUCAGUCGUACCGACGAGAAAUCAGCUUAUCGUGUGUUAACUUGUGGGCGUGCGUGAGUUUCGGCCUCGCUGUUUGCAUGUUUGUGCGCUUUGGGUGUACUUUUUCGUAUGGUUGGCCAACAUCAGUUUCGAUUACUAUAAAAUGACUGGCGGAAUGUAGCUUCGAUUUCGGUUGAAGUGUUAUAGCCUCUGGUAGAUGUGGUGAUUGGGACUGAGGAUUGCAACGAAUAUCCUUUGGGCUAUCCGUCUGGCCUCUGAAAGUUGCUUGGGUGCUGAAGGCUUGCUUAUGGUUAUCUAAGUUAACGGUCAAUAGGUUAGAACGUGAUUACAUUCGUUAAGGAUGUUGACGUA